AUGUCUAAAGCUCGUUCGUUCCUUCCUUCUCGCCUUGACACUUACGUGACUAAGGACGCUGAGGGGAGUCGAGGUGGGAUUGUGACGGCUUGGAACAGCCGGGUAUUCACGCUCACUUCCUCCUCGACGUCUCGCUUCUCUCUUACCUCUACCCUCGCCUCUACGACGAGCGCUCUCUCUUUCACGAUCACCAACAUUUACGCGCCCGCGGAUCACGCCUUCACGGCUGACUUCGUCGAUGAUCUCAUCGCGGUUGCCGAAGCCGUCUCGGGUCCGUGGCUGCUGCUUGGGGAUUUCAACCUGAUCCGGUUUCCUCAUGAGAAGAACAACGAUCGGUUCGACGCCCCCCGUGCGGCGACUUUCAACUCUCUGAUCAACACCCUUGCUCUUCACGAGCUGGCUCUGACUGAUCGUCGGUUUACCUGGACGAACAAGCGCGACCCCCCUACUCUGGCUCGCCUUGACCGGGUCCUCUUCGACUCCGCCUGGGAUGCGGCCUUCCCAGACUCGGCUUUGACGUCCCGUCCCCGUCCUACCUCGGAUCACGUUCCCCUGGUGGUG
rnacentral:rRNA from 1 species